rnacentral:rRNA from 1 species
AUUGAACGCUGGCGGCAUGCCUUACACAUGCAAGUCGAACGGCAGCACGGGUGCUUGCACCUGGUGGCGAGUGGCGAACGGGUGAGUAAUACAUCGGAACGUACCUUAUCGUGGGGGAUAACGCAGCGAAAGCUGUGCUAAUGCCGCAUACGCCCUGAGGGGGAAAGCGGGGGAUCGCAAGACCUCGCGCGAUUAGAGCGGCCGAUGCCUGAUUAGCUUGUUGGUGGGUAAAAGCCCACCAAGGCGACGAUCAGUAGCUGGUCUGAGAGGACGAUCAGCCACACUGGGACUGAGACACGGCCCAGACUCCUACGGGAGGCAGCAGUGGGGAAUUUUGGACAAUGGGGGCAACCCUGAUCCAGCAAUGCCGCGUGAGUGAAGAAGGCCUUCGGGUUGUAAAGCUCUUUUGUCAGGGAAGAAACACCGGCUCUAACACAGUCCGGGAAUGACGGUACCUGAAGAAUAAGCACCGGCUAACUUCGUGCCAGCAGCCGCCGUAA